AAGGCAGAGGCUUAACCCACUGAGCCACCCAGGCACCCGAGGGCGGUGAAGUCUGAGCCUCAGUUCCAUGUCCAGUCCUAAGAAGUGGAAGCAGAAGGGGGUUGACGGGUUGUUUGAUGGAGUGGCCGGAGGUUAAGGAUGGCGGAGACUGAAAGUUGAAUGAUGUAAUUACUGAAUGUAAUUACUGAAGGAGUGAUUCAGCUCUCCAGCCUGAAGGGGCCCUUUGGUGCUUCCCGUUGUCAGAAGUUAGAAGGAAGCCCGCAGGAAAGAGAAACGGACCUUCACAGGUGGGACUGUGAAAUGCACUUGGUUAGAUUUUCGACCUUGAACUCAGAGCAUCUUGCCAAUUUAAAUGGGAUUCUGGUAUCUGCUGGCAGAGAGAGACCCGCCAGAGAAGAGAUAAUCUAAUUACCCAAUGAAUUAGAUAACCCAGUUAGAUAACCCAACCUGCUGUGGAAACAAAUGGGUAAGGAAAACCCAGAGGACUGGGGUGCCUGGAGGAAAAGGUUUAGCUUGGGGCUUUAAGUUCUCAGCUCAAGUCGAGGUCAAAGAACCAGACGGGUUUUGUGCUGGCUCUGUCAACUGUCUGCAGCUGUGAAACAAAUGACUCUAGAGUUUAGUGGCUCAAAAUUAUAAUAAACACAUCUCUCUCCCAGUUUCUUGGGGCCUGGAAUUCAGGAGUGGCUGAUCUAGAAGGUUCUGGCUCUGGGUCUCUCCCGAACUUGCAGUCAAGAGACUGGCCGGGGUCCCCAGUCAGCUGAGGCCUUGACUAGGCGGCAGGACCCAUUCAAAGGUUCUGCUUCACAUGGCUGGAAAGUGGAUGUAAUGUCGAUUUUUCCUUUCAGUUCUAGUUUUCACUUCACGUAUUUCAAAACAACGUUUUUAGGUGUGUACACAUUUUUUUCCCCAAGAUUUAUUUAUUUGAAGUGGGGGCACAGGGGGAGAGGGAGAGAGAAGCCGUAAGCAGACUCUGUGCUCAGUGUGGAGCCUGAUGUGGGGAAGCAGAGCCCAGUGCCCGUGUUGGGGUGCAGAGCUGGUUGUGGGGCUCGAUCUCAUGACCCUGAGGUAAACCAGGAGUCGGUCGCUUAACCGACUGUGCCUCCCAGGCGCCGGUAGGGGCACACAUGAUUAGACUAGACGGUUAAAAUCUGGUGGUUAGUCAGCUGUUUUAUUACUAUGCAAAUGCUCUUUAUCCUUAAUCAUUUUCAGUUUUUUUUUCUUUUGACAGUUUUUUUUUUAAGAUUUUAUUUAUUUAUUUGAC